GGAAAUCCCCCGCCAUCAAAGGAAGUCAACCCCACUCCCGAGUCCCGACCCCAUCUCUCGUUUCCCCUUCCCACUCUCCCGAUUCAGAUCCAGAUCCCUUCUCCUGCGUCAGCUCCCUCCUCUGUACCCAGCUGCUGCACCAAACCUUUCUCUCCCUUCCAUAUCGGGCGAGGAUCCCCUUGGACGCCCUCGUCUUUGUCCCUUCCCUUCAUCUCCCUCUACCGCCAACCAGCGCCACGAUCCUCUCCCUAUCACCAUCAGCAGGUGCCGAGCAGCUCGUCUUUGAUGGAUCUUGGCCGGGAAGUGGUGGAGCAUGACCCGACGAUGACGAGCACUGCGGCCUCAAGCUCAACUCCAGCCUGGGGACAACGGCGACGUGCUCACUGCCGGUGACAACAACUACGUGCUCAGCCCAACUGCCUCUACAUCAAGAAGAUCCGUCGCCGCGGGCUUCGCCCCCCUCUCCCUUCAACACCGCGAGUUGAGGAGGAGCACCAUCACCUCGGCUGUCUACUCGCAGAUGAAGUACGUAACGUGGCCAUGUGGCCAGCAUCGGUGGAUCGGAGGGCAAUGGUGAGGGUUGCGAUUCGUUCUUCGUUGGCUAGGACGAUAUUUGAAUCUUGGAACAGAGGAAGACACAAGUUGGUCUGUCCAACUACGGCCUGUGAAUUUUCUGUACAGAGAUCAUGAUGUGUGUGGCUCCAUCGCCGACGGUGGUCCCGACACGCAGCCAUAGGAAUGGAUAAUAGACAAGCCAACAGGGAAAGCAGGUGUGGAGAACACACGAUCUUGCCGAUGUGAGUGCCCUUGUCUAAUAAAUUGCUUAAAUCAGAGGACAAUUGAUGGUACAUCACGGAGCACAAGGGUUAAGAAGUACAUGAGGCUACAAUGAUGAGAACUAUGACGAGGAGAUGAUAAGAAUUGUACAUUGAUUUUUUUUCUUAUCAAAGAAAUACAUAGUUGCUGUUGCAUUUGAAUAUCAUUUUUAUUAGUAGAACUAUUGAGCUUUACUAAGUGAUUUGCAUCUGACUGUUACAGGGGAGGCCACUAAUGAGAGAUAACCUGGCCAUUGAAUGGCAUGCGAUCAAGACAUACACAAGGGCUAUGUGGAGCAAACACAAGUCAUGUCCUGAAGGUGUUGUACUUCAUACAUGGGAAGUAAAUCCGUACAAAGCAUAUAAUGAAGAGAUCGACAAGGAAGAUUACAACAUAGGAACCGUUGGCAUAUAACCCCUCCUACAUGCACUUGAAUGUGCAUAAAGCUUGUUCGGCUUGGGUUUCUAGGCUGUCUACACCUUCUGCUAGGGCCUUCCUUAUGGAUGAUGGUGUAAACUUGUUUCGAGCAAAGAUACAAAAAGUGGGUCAAAAGAGUAUCAUAUUACAUGAGAUCACUUGCUAUGAAGCUAGGUGUUACAGUCAGACGUAAUGUCAACAACAUGAAUGCAUUCUUUGGAGGACCGAUGGUUGCUAUAGCGUCUGAUAUUGUGUGGGUUAUGAAUAUUGUUCCUGAUAAAAAAAAACUGUGGUCACUUGGAGUAAUAUAUGACAUGGGCCUGAUUGGAGUUUAUCA